rnacentral:lncRNA from 1 species
GAUGACUGCCUCCUGGUCUGAAUGGACAACCUCAGGCUUGAACAAUGUGCAGAACCACUGACUUGUAUCUUCCUCUGGCUUGGAAGCCCCAGCUACAAUCCAAUACUGCCGGCGGUUUGCCCUUCUCAAGUACCUGUUGUUGUAACAGUUUUUGAUAUGCACGAGUCCUCCGUUACCGCUGUCUGCCGACUCCAUUUGGAACUUUGCGUACUCUCUCUUAACCUUGUCUUCGGAGAGUUGGACAAGCCCAUCAAGAUUCUCGAUUCUUUCAUGUAUGUAGCGCAGGUACUUUUGGUCGUCGUUUGAUUUCAGCGCAAAAAACCUUGGUAGUAUGGUUGCCAUGUUAUUUGCAAACAUAUCUUUCUCCAUUCUCUCUCAAUUUUAAUUUAAUUUAAUUUAAUUGGGAUAAUCUAUCUCUCUCUCUCUCUCUUUCUUCAUCUUCUCUUCUUCAGCUGUUAUUUUAUUUAUAAAGCCCACACCUAACUGAGGUUCGUCGUCAAACGGCCGGAGAUGGCCGAGUUCUAGCUUGAGGUCCGUGAGCUUGCCGGACCUGGAUUUGGGUGAAGGAUUAUUUUGUGAAAACAUGUUCAUUUAAGCAACAUCUAUAAGCAUGCAAUUAACAAUUAAAGGCGGAAUCAUGCUAGCAUGCACUUAAAAACAAAACAUUAACCAUGAAAUUCAAAGCCUAGUAGAUUGGUGAACCAAUAAACAACUCAAAACAAAGUGAGUUGAAAUAUAUACCUUUGUAGAUUCCUCUUUGUAUUUAAACAAAGGUUAAUCACCCAAGAGAUAGGGCCUUCAUUCCUUGCAUCUAAGAUCCAUGGAUUUGGAUGGAUCUACACCAAGGAGAGCAUGGAUGAUAAAUGAGUGACCAUGGAAGAAUAGAUGGCUAGCUACAACUUCCAUGGUGGCCGGCCUUUCUAGAGAGAAAUGGAGAGACAAUUCUCACCAAUUUUCUCUAAAACAAACCCCUAAUGAAUAAAAGGCUAUAAAGUCAUAUUUAUACCUUUAUUCAUUUGAGUGGCAAACUUGUAAUUAAAGCAAGUUCACUACCCUUUCUCUAUAUGGCCGGCCAUGGGGGGGUUGUUUGGGCUUUUGGGUCUUAGUGAAUCAUUAUUCAUUAAGUUGUCAUACAACUUAAGUCAAUGGGCUUGACGUUCGAAGCCCAUUGGGCCUUAAGGUCCAAAACCUAUCCCGAGGUCUUUAACGAACUUAUUCGUUUGAUUAAUUAACAUAUUAAUUAAUCCUUGCCAUAAAUAAUUAAACUAUUCAAUUAUUCUUACUCAUUUAGUUUGUUUCAUCCAUCUCCACCUUAUACGGUGUACGAUCCAUUAGGUUCCUUUUAGCGAGGCAGUGGGCGAUCAAAACUCUUUCAAAUCGAUUAUGAAUUGAAACUUACUUUCAAUUCUCCCUUUAGUGAUAAUACACUUUUAGGGCUUCCACAAACCAUGAGUGACACCUAGCCGUAUGUCAUGGUUACCCAAGCUAAUCAGAAGAGGUUAAGAACCUAUUCAGUUUAGGAUUACAAAUGCAAUACGGUCCUUCUCUAAUACAAUACUCUUGACCACAUUGUUUGGUUUGAUAGUUUAUUCAUGUCUAUUAUCCAAUGUGAAUCUUGUGCAUAUAUGAUUACUUUGAAUGUGAUUUGGAACGCAUUCCUAAAUCUCAUUCAUACUCUGGCCAGAGAUUCUAAAUCAUAUCAUAGAGUAUUCUCCCUCAAACGGUUUGAAGGUUAGAGAUCCCUUGUUGCGCAUUCACUUGCCUCCAUGACUAAGUGGCUUAACCCCAACGAUGCCGUAGACACCCCGAUGGGGUGACAUUGACAUAAUCAAAGAUCAAGGACUUAACCACAAGACAACUGUGAUGCCUCAGGUCAAAGGACUAAUUUGCAUUAUCCCAAACAUGAGUUCUUAUGUGACAUGAGUAUGAGAACUCUUCGUUGAUCGCGUUCAGUGAACUCAUUCUCUACUGAGCACCUACGUACUUGUCUUAAUGUCACACACACCAAUGACUCGAGACUAGUCACUCUCCCUGGGAGAAGACAUAGCACGUACCGAUCUUGACGGACUGUCAAUGCCCAAUUGGCAAUCCUAUGAUCAGGAACAUUUAGGAUGUGUCUACGAAAGAAUGGUCUCAUGAAUCUAACUUCAUUAGAUUACAUUCUUCCAAUCACAUAUUCCUUGGACUUUAUCGUUUAAGCAUAUAACAUUUAUAUGAGACGGCUCAAACAAUAAUCUUUGCCCUUUAUAGUUAAACUAGAUUAGUUUAACAUGCGAAAUGUCCGUAAAGUAUCAUCAUAUGAUUGGUUUUAGGGCACAUUUCCAACAAUCUCCCACUUGCACUAGAGCCAAUCAGCUUGGUCAUCAGUGAUGAUACCUCUUCUGUAGUCAUUUCAUAAAUGGCUGAAUAGUAGGCCUAGACAAUGGAUAUCUAUAUGUUAUCCAUAGAAGCAACCUUGAGAAUAACGACGUCACCAUUAUACAUGAUUCUCAAUCAUGUGGUUCAGUCUCUCAUAUGAGUUCGGAUCUUGAUGAGACCUUGAUUCCCAGGCUUGAGCUAUCGCCCCAUUAGUGUCAUAGUGUCAGUACACUAGAUACACUUUCUGGUUGGAACCGAAUAGAGAGUUCACUAAAUGAACUUUCCCAUCCAAACAACAUUGUUGCAAACUUCUAUAUGGCAAUAUAUUUUGCAUUCAUAAUGGAACACACUAAAGUCAUUACUUUAAUGUUUCCAUCCAAAUAUCUCUUUAGUCAUAAUAAAGAGAUAUUCGUUUAUCUCUUCAUUCAUAAUGAAGAAACAUCCAAUGAUGGAUUAGAUUCAUAAUCUAAUACAUUUACGCUUCCAUUACGUUACUCUAAUUCUUCCUCGAUCUUUGAGGAAUUUAUCCUUUAGUAUUUCUUAAAUACUUAAGGACUCACUUGACAGUUGCCAUGGUUCUGAUCCUGGGCUUGCAUUGAUAUCGUCUUGUACCGUUCUAGGUACAACUCAUAUCAAUGUUUUUCAUACAAUAUGAAAUACAUAAAUCACCUUUAUGCGUAUGCAUAAAGGAUUCUUAUUUACGCAUUAUUUCUUUGGGAGUCAAAGGGUACGUUCCCUUUGAGAAGGGCAACUUGCUAGUCACACUAGAGUCAUCCUUAUUUGAAGUUUAUCAUCAUAUGAGAAACUUCCUAGCAACUUUUGUCUAUUAUUAGGGAUUGAUAUAAUCAAAUUAUAUCUUGAAAUCUAUCAAUAUAGAUUUCCAUCCCAUGUAUAUAGACAAUGUCUCCCAUAUACAUUCUAUCGUUAUAGAAUGCUUAAAGUCAUAACUUUAAUGAAGAAAUAUUCUUUUCACUUCCAAAAUUAAUAUAUCAUAUAUAUUCAUACAUAUCACAUAUAUAUUUAUAUAUAUAUACAAAUUUAGGAAUAUGAUUAACUCCCACUAAUCUUUUGUAAACCUAGUAAACAAAAGAUUCAUUUACAUCUUUAUGAGAAAGCAAACGAUUUGACCUUUCUCUCAUAAGACGCUUAUAGCUCCCACUAGCUUGCUAAGAUCCAUGAUGGAUGGAUCUCUACAACUUAUAUGUCUUGUGAUUCAUAGUUUUAGACAUAUAUUAUCAAGACUAUCUUAAUAAUGGUUUCGGAAACCCAUAUUAUGUCCAAACAUUGAAUCACCAUUUAGUUGUCGCUAGCUAUCUUCGAAUUAAUUGAAACUAAGACUACGUCAAAAAUGGUUCCUUUAAAGUCAACCAUUCUCUUUGAUUGUAGUCACCUUAAGCUACCAAUUAGCUAUGAAGGUUUCAUUAUUUCGAGUCAAAUGGUACUUUACCAUUUCCUUGAGUAUAUAUCAUAUAUAUACACUCAAUGUAGUCAUAAGGAUUUUCAUUCUUAUUUCUUUCGAAUUAAGAGGUGUAACUCUAUGACAUAGUCAUAAAGUUCAAACCAUUCAACUGAGAUGGUUUAUAAAUCCUUCUCGACUACCUUGGAGCUUUUGGUAUAGGAACUAGGUUGUUUAUAUUUGUUGAUUACUUUCUUGUCUCUCAAAGAACACAUUCUUUGAGUUCUAUCUCUCGUUCAUUUGCUUUUAGGCAAAUCACAUUGUAGGAUUACAAUGAACUACCCAACAAAACAACAUUUGUUAAUUGGUUUAUAGAAGCGAUAUCCAAAAGUUAAUUUAAGGAUAUCCUACAAGAUUGUUAUCAAACAAAUAUUGCUUAUAAGCACACAACCCCAAAUCUUAACAUGCUUAAGAUUUGUCUUUCUUUCCAACUACAUCUUAUGGAGUCAUGAAAAAUUUGGAAGAUCUUCUAAUUGACAAUCAUAUUGUCUUAGAAGCAUAUAUAUCCUAUAUAUGGGUAAAAGGUCGUACCCAGUGCACAAGGCUCCCGCUUUACGCAGGGUCUGGGAGAGGUGAAUGUCGGCUAGCCUUACCCCCAUUUAUGGAGAGGCUGCUCCCAAGUCUCGAACCCGAGACCUACCGCUCAUGGGCGAAGGCACUUGCCAUCGCACCAAGUGCGACCUCUCGAAAACCCAAGAAAUAAGAAAGAAAAAACGAAAAAAAUGGGGAAGCCACCGUCUAUACUUCAUAGGUAUCGGCUAGGCUGUCUACAGACUCUUCUCUUUGGUGUUCGGCCAUUUGGAUUCUGGUUUCUGGUUGGUUCGUGUCAGUUGUGCCUUCAUCUGUUACCGCUGACAAGGAUUUCGUGUGAUUCUUGUUGUGCCUCAUUUUGAGCAUCCGUGAUAGCACUUGUACAAUGUCUCUCAUGGAAGGCCGUUUCUUUGGGGUACGGUUGACACAUUUAUAUGCCAGAGCUGCCACUUCGUUAAGCUCUUGCAUAUGGGUAAUUGAUAAUAUCCAACGAACUAAAUCUUAUUCAAGUUCGUUCUUCUCCUAAUGGAGAAAUCUAUUAUCUUAUGAUGCUUCUUUCCUUGAUAUCUUUCAAGAAAACUAUUCUAAAGUGUUACCAUUCCUUGGAUCAAAUCUAAGGAUGUAAAUACUUUAGACGUCUUACUCAUCAACUUACAUUUCUUGAAUUCUUUGAAACCUUUUGCAAAGUAUUCGGACUUGUGUUUAUUUAAAAUAAACUAUAGUCCAACUGAGGGUGAUCUUCGGUGAAUGUCAUACAACAUGAGUAGUAUUAUGUUGUGGACAAGUGCCACUAACAUCUAAGUGAAUUAUCCUCAACAACUUUGUGAUUCUUUAUUCUUUCCAAAAGAAUGAAGAUUCAAACAUUUUGCCUCUAUACAAUUUUAACAAGAAGGCAUUGGAUCCGGAUCUAACGAUCCUAAGUAUCCAUCCAUGACUAACUUGUAAUUUAUGUUUUUAGAGGUAUCACAACUUUAGUUGGGAUUAGUCACUACCUUGCAACCUUUUGGGUUUUAAGCAUCGUUGUAUUCUAAACAGUUAACACUACCAUAUCAUCUCUACUAUAGAGACAAUCAAUUAGAUUACUAUAAUCCAAUCAUUGAUUAAUAAAGAACAAUGUUUUGUCAAACAAAACAUUCAUCCAUCUCUACUAUAGUGACGGAAUUAAAUUCCUUAAAAUUGGAAUGUAAAGACAAUCUUUGGUUUUUCCAAUUUCUUUGGUAGUUCAUAUGAGGAAGUAAGUACCAUCUGCUUUCGCAGAGAUCUAUAUUUGAUUCACUUUCCGAAUGUGAAGCACCUUUUCCUUCUUUCAUAUAUCUUCUACUUCUUAUUAGUCACACUUUUACAACGAUUGUAAAACAUAGUUACUAAUACGGAAUCAAGCAUUCAAGUAGAAGAACCAACUGUUUUGAACUUUUCAAGAACAAUUUACAACACCUUCGAAAGGUGUCUUCUUGACAUUUGCAAGACAUUUCUUGCAAAUACCCCUUCCAAUGUCCAUCCUUUCAUAAAGAAAGUUUGUUCCCUUGGAGUUAAUUUUGUCUUCUUCAUUUGACUUCUCCUUUGACUACAAUAGUCAUGGUCCCUAAACUCCCACUAUCUCUCUUGAAACUUAUUUCAAUUGUGUUAUACACAUCAAACAUUUUGGAGAGCAUGUGGUUAUUGUUCACUACAUAGUUUACAAUAAACUUAGUGAACCAUAAGGAUAAGGACACAAAGGUGAAGUCCUUGCCUAGUUCCCGUCUCUAGAAGUGUUUUAACACUUCAACACUCAAUGAUUCAAAAUCAUCAUAAGUCCAUGUUGAUGGACUAUUUUUGUCAACCAACCAUUAUGUUCUAAACAUAACUACAAACUUUCAAGAGUUGUACAAGGCAACUCUCAUUUCUUCAUACAACAAUUUGUAAGUGAAGAAUCAUGGCACAUUAAGUGUCCAUGCCUUUGUGCUUUCUUCUUAAGUUCUUUGUUCAUUUAACAAAGAAACAAGCACUAAGUGUUUGCAUUGACUAAGGGUUGUUCAAAACAACUCAUUAUUUCUUCAUACAACGAUUUGUAAGUGAAGAACUAAUAACACUAAAAGUGUCCUUUUCUUUAUGCUAAUCUUCGUAAGUUCCUUUGUUCAUAUAACGAAGGAAUAAGCAUUGGUUGUUUGUGUUGUCCUCUUCAUGAUAGACUUAUCUAACAUGUUCUUUCAAUGAUACAUUACCAAUAGAAAGAUUUUGAGGAUGAGACUACUUAGGUACAUAUACAAUCCAUUUAAGACAUUCUUUGGGAUUGUGGUACCAAGUCCGGAAACUAAAACAUUCGGUUUUAUUUGUCAAGUGUUGGAUAGCGUUUGCAAAUAUAUUGGUAAACAAAUACAUAACGAAUAUAAAUCGAUUGAUUUUAAGCCAUUUGAUUCGGGUCUUUAAAUCAAAAUAGCACCACCCACUAUUUUUGGCAAAUUCCAUAUCCCUCAUUGGAAUUCGAGAGUUUUGGAUGAAACUCUUAGUAGGGUAUGGGAGGCUCACUAUUACCAAGCCCACCUCACAAUGAUAUGAUGUUGGCUAGCAUUAAUAAUAAUGAGAGAGUACACUUACUCAUUUGCAACUAAUGCAAGUACCCAUCUUAUUCGGCCUCUAGAGAAUGUCACCUCACAAUGAUAUGAUGUUGGCUCCAUUGCACUUAGUUAAGUCAUUCCCACCAUGCUUAGUUCAUGAAGGGGUUCAAGAAUAGCCUCACGAUGAUACGAUGUCGGCCAUCCUCGUUGCCUACACUAACCUCAUCAUAUGUUUAUGGAUUCCUCCUGAGUAUAAGCAUGCACUUUGUACUCCCCCAUGAUAGGGUGAAGCCGGUGUACAAGUCAUAAACGAUUGGAGCCACCACGGUGGAAGGCCUACGAAAGAGUGUUCAAAGCACUCUCACGCUUAUCAACUUAAUAAUUGUUUGGUUGAGGGUUUUAGGUCUCAUCACAUAUAAAUAUACAUUUUAAUCUCUAUUAAAACAAUUUUGGUCCUAUUACAACUAUUGGUCCAUAUGAUUGUUUUUAGUUGUAUAUAAUACUCCCACUAUGCUUAUAAAACGGUUUUUAAAGCAAGAGUAUAUGAUACUACUACUAACAUAACCUUUGCAUUCAUUUGAUGGACUAUAUAGUUGCCUUAGGGCCUUAGGAUGAUUAUGAACCUUGGUUUAGAUUCAACACGAGCCUUGUGUUGAAUCUCGGUCUAGGAAUGGUGAUUGAUUUUAGUUACGCGUUUAAUCACAUUAAGGCGUGUUGUCUUAGGGGCGUUGGACCCAACUACUUCAUUUUCAUGCAUAUCAUAUAAAGCAAGAAAGAAGUACUUCAAAGUAAAGGUGAGCUUAUGCUCAUUACAACAUUUGCAUAAAAUAAAUUACUUUAAAGUAAAGAAGAGCUUAAGCCCUUUUACAACAUUUGAUCAAAUCAAAUUACAACCAAAAUUAAUCUACACAUUCCCAUGGUUCAAACAAAUUUGAAACGGCCUAUCACAUAGCUCAAUUAUAUUAGGCUUAGGUUCAUAAUCACCCUUUAAUUAAUUAACACUUUAACUAAUUAAAUUGAAUGCAACAUUUUCAUUUGGUUUUUGUAUCCAUAAAAUUGAUUUAAAUGGAGCUAAACAAAAUGAAAAUCCAAUUCUCAUUUAAAGAGACAAAACAAUUUUGUUCUCUACUUAAUUUGGGCCAAUAUGCAAUAACCACAACUUUUGGGCCAUAAAGCAAUUAACCUCAACUUUUGGGCUAUAUUGCAAAACUUUUGGGGUCACUUUGUAAAGACACAAAAGUCCACUACUUCAUAUAAUUACAAUAGAACCCAAAAUUUAAUCAAUGCAAAAACUUCAUUAAAGGAGCAAAACAAUUUGUCCUUUAGCGUUUUUGGACCUAAACGUAAAAACGUAAACUUUUGGGCCAAAGUGCAAAUACACAAAAGUAUCAAAACUUUAUGUAAUUGCAUAAAAGACCCAAAAGUACUCCCACUUGAGGGAGGGCCGGUUUUUAGAGAGGGAAAGGGAGUGGAGAUAAGUCCACAAAAAUUUGGAAAUUUUUUUCAACAAUUUCAUAAAGCCUUGCAAGUGGUUUUUGGUUGGUGUAAAUCAUUAAACCAUGCAUGUGGUGUGUAAGGUGUGUAAGGUGUGUAAGUCUUACACACCCAUCACAAUUUCUAUCACCUUUCAAAAUAAAUGUUUUGGUGAUAGAAAAUUCACAUCAACCAACACAAAACAAAGACUUUAUGAAAUUAACCAAAACUUUGAAUCAAAACACAAACCUUUUUGUUCUUGGCAAAAAUGUCAAGAACAAUGAAGAACACUCAUGAAAAAACUCAAAAUUUUCCAUGAACAUUUUUCACCCAAAAACAUUCCCAAAAACAUUCAAACUUAAGGGAAAUAACAUCUAACCAAACUAGGGUACAUAGGGGUUCCAAAAGUCACUUUAAAACACUUUUAACAAGUCAAACAAGAACCCAAAAAAAUACCCUUUGUAUUUGGCCGAAAAUUCCCAAAAGCAUGGCACCAAAUUUUAGCUCCAAUAUUCAUGCUCAUAUGAACUACAUCUACAACAUUUGAGAUGGCAAAUUUUCUAGCAAAAUUUACAUUCAAAGAAACAAGAAUAAAGCUUGUAACAAUUACAACUUUUAAAUCACAAACUAUGAACUACAAAACCCAAAAGGAUUCACCAACUACUAGACCUAGGCUCUGAUACCACUUGAAGGAUUAUUUUGUAAAAACAUGUUCAUUUAAGCAACAACUAUAAGCAUGCAAUUAACAAUUAAAGGCGGAAUCAUGCUAGCAUGCACUUAAAAACAAAACAUUAACCAUGAAAUUCAAAGCCUAGUAGAUUGGUGAACCAAUAAACAACUCAAAACAAAGUGAGUUGAAAUAUAUACCUUUGUAGAUUCCUCUUUGUAUUUAAACAAAGGUUAAUCACCCAAGAGAUAGGGCCUUCAUUCCUUGCAUCUAAGAUCCAUGGAUUUGGAUGGAUCUACACCAAGGAGAGCAUGAAUGAUAAAUGAGUGACCAUGGAAGAAUAGAUGGCUAGCUACAACUUCCAUGGUGGCCGGCCUUUCUAGAGAGAAAUGGAGAGACAAUUCUCACCAAUUUUCUCUAAAACAAACCCCUAAUGAAUAAAAAGGCUAUAAAGUCAUAUUUAUACCUUUAUUCAUUUGAGUGGCAAACUUGUAAUUAAAGCAAGUUCACUACCCUUUCUCUAUAUGGCCGGCCAUGGGGGGGGGUGUUUGGGCUUUUGGGUCUUAGUGAAUCAUUAUUCAUUAAGUUGUCAUACAACUUAAGUCAAUGGGCUUGACGUUCGAAGCCCAUUGGGCCUUAAGGUCCAAAACCUAUCCCGAGGUCUUUAACGAACUUAUUCGUUUGAUUAAUUAACAUAUUAAUUAAUCCUUGCCAUAAAUAAUUAAACUAUUCAAUUAUUCUUACUCAUUUAGUUUGUUUCAUCCAUCUCCACCUUAUACGGUGUACGAUCCAUUAGGUUCCUUUUAGCGAGGCAGUGGGCGAUCAAAACUCUUUCAAAUCGAUUAUGAAUUGAAACUUACUUUCAAUUCUCCCUUUAGUGAUAAUACACUUUUAGGGCUUCCACAAACCAUGAGUGACACCUAGCCGUAUGUCAUGGUUACCCAAGCUAAUCAGAAGAGGUUAAGAACCUAUUCAGUUUAGGAUUACAAAUGCAAUACGGUCAUUCUCUAAUACAAUACUCUUGACCACAUUGUUUGGUUUGAUAGUUUAUUCAUGUCUACUAUCCAAUGUGAAUCUUGUGCAUAUGUGAUUACUUUGAAUGUGAUUUGGAACGCAUUCCUAAAUCUCAUUCAUACUCUGGCCAGAGAUUCUAAAUCAUAUCAUAGAGUAUUCUCCCUCAAACGGUUUGAAGGUUAGAGAUCCCUUGUUGCGCAUUCACUUGCCUCCAUGACUAAGUGGCUUAACCCCAACGAUGCCGUAGACACCCCGAUGGGGUGACAUUGACAUAAUCAAAGAUCAAGGACUUGACCACAAGACAACUGUGAUGCCUCAGGUCAAAGGACUAAUUUGCAUUAUCCCAAACAUGAGUUCUCAUGUGACAUGAGUAUGAGAACUCUUCGUUGAUUGCGUUCAGUGAACUCAUUCUCUACUGAGCACCUACGUACUUGUCUUAAUGUCACACACACCAAUGACUCGAGACUAGUCACUCUCCCUGGGAGAAGACAUAGCACGUACCGAUCUUGACGGACUGUCAAUGCCCAAUUGGCAAUCCUAUGAUCAGGAACAUUUAGGAUGUGUCUACGAAAGAAUGGUCUCAUGAAUCUAACUUCAUUAGAUUACAUUCUUCCAAUCACAUAUUCCUUGGACUUUAUCGUUUAAGCAUAUAACAUUUAUAUGAGACGGCUCAAACAAUAAUCUUUGCCCUUUAUAGUUAAACUAGAUUAGUUUAACAUGCGAAAUGUCCGUAAAGUAUCAUCAUAUGAUUGGUUUUAGGGCACAUUUCCAACAUUGGGUACCCCGAAGUUCCACAGAGACGGAGGGAGAGAGAUGAGAGAUUCACGAGGGUGGUGCUGCUGAUGUGCCGUCAUCGGGGUGGCUCUGGUACCUCGGUGUGUGGGUGUGGGUUCGAUCGGCGAGAGAGUGCGAGAGAGAGAUGAGAGUUAGCUGAAAGACGGACCUGGAUUCUAGCUUGAGGUCCGUGAGCUCGCCGGACCUGGAUUUGGGUGCCCUCUGGGUGCCCCGAAGUUCAACAGAGACGGAGGGAGAGGGAUGAG